GCCGCAUAGAGCCAAGAUCAAAGAUGCAUUUAGUUAGCCUUCUGUUGACACUUGUUUGGGGGGGUUUAGGAAGUGCUGCAGAUAUUGACGAUCUACCACCCAAUUUUCCACGAUGCCGCCGCGAUGAUCCAGAACUUCAAAAAUGUCUUCUGCAAGCCACAGAAACUGUCAAACCGUACGUGAUCGAAGGAGUGCAAAAUUUUUCCAAAAGUAUCGUCAACUUCACUGUUCCUGGUGUGGUUCUGCAAGCCGGAAAUCAAGCGAUCAACUACAGGGCCGAUGUCAACGAUAUCGUGCUGUACGGACUUGAAAAUUAUAAGUUUGAAUACUUCAAUUAUUUCCCAGAAAACCUG
rnacentral:misc_RNA from 1 species